AGUGAACGCUGGCGGUAGGCCUAACACAUGCAAGUCGAACGGCAGCACAGUACGUGCUUGCUCUUCCGGGUGGCGAGUGGCGGACGGGUGAGGAAUACAUCGGAAUCUUCUUUUUCGUGGGGGAUAACGUAGGGAAACUUACGCUCAUACCGCAUACGACCUACGGGUGAAAGCAGGGGAUCUUCGCACCUUGCGCGAUUGGAUGAGCCGGUGUGGGAUUAGCUAGUUGGCGGGGUAAAGGCCCACCUAGUCGACGAUCCGUAGCUGGUCUGAGAGGAUGGUCGCCCACCUGAGAAGGUAGACGGGGACCAUGCGACUGCGGGACGGAGCAGUCGCGAAUGGUAGGCAGCAGGGGGGAACCUUGCCCAAUGAGCGGAAGUGUGAUGAAGAAGCCCUGGGGUUGGAAAGCCCGUUUGUUGGGUGAGAAAAGCAGCAGCUUAAGACCCCGCGGGACUGACGGUACCCAAAGAAUAAGCACCGGCUAACUUCGUG
rnacentral:rRNA from 1 species